UGGCUAAUAUCCGGUAAGCUUACGGUGACUUCGGUCGCUGUGAGAAAAGUAGAUCUCUAUUUAUAAGUUUAUGUCUAGAGAUGAGCCCGCGGCCCAUCAGCUAGUUGGCGGGGUAACGGCCCAUCAAGGCUAUGACGGGUAGCUGGUCUGAGAGGACGAUCAGCCACACUGGAAUUGAGAUAUGGUCCAGACUCCUAUGGGAGGCAGUAGUGGGGAAUUUUCCACAAUGGGCGAAAGCCUGAUGGAGCAACGCCGCGUGUGUGAUGAAGGUCUUCGGAUCGUAAAGCACUUUCGACCGGGAAGAAAAACCUUUGGCUAAUAUCCAGGGGCUUGACGGUACCGGGAGAAGAAGCACCGGCUAACUCUGUGCCAGCAGCCGCGGUAAUACAGAGGGUGCAAGCGUUGUUCGGAAUUAUUGGGCGUAAAGUGCGUGUAGGCGGCUUGGCAAGUCAGAUGUGAAAGUCCUCGGUUUAACCGAGGAAGUGUGUCUGAAACUGCUGAGCUUGAGUCUCGGAGAGGAUGGCGGAAUUCCGCAAGUAGAGGUGAAAUUUGUAGAUAUGCGGAGGAAUAUUGGUGGUGAAGGUGGCCAUCUGGACGAUUACUGACGCUGAGACGCGAAAGCGUGGGGAGUAAAUAGGAUUAGAUAUCCUGGUAGUCCACGCUGUAAACGAUGAGAACUAGGUGUCGUGGGUGUUGAUCCCCGCGGUGCCGUAGUUAAUGUAUUAAGUUCUCCGCCUGGGAAGUACGGCCGUAAGGCUAAAACUCAAAAGAAUUGACGGGGGCCCGCACAAGCGGUGGACCAUGUGGUUUAAUUUGAUCCAUGUGCAGAACUUUACCCAGACUUGACAUUUAUCAAAUCCGGCUUAAAAGUUGGAGUGCCCGUAAGGGAAUGGUAAGACAGGUGCUGUAUGGCUGUCGUCAGCUCGUGUUGUGAGAUGUUGGGUUAAGUCCCGCAACGAGCGCAACCCUCGCCUUUAGUUGCUCCGUAAGGAGAUCUCUAGAGGGACCGCCAGUGAUAAGCUGGAGGAAGGUGGGGAUGACGUCAAGUCCUCAUGGCCUUUAUGUCUGGGGCUACACACGUGCUAUAAUGGCGAGUAUAAAGCGUUGCUAACCCGUGAGGGGGAGCUAAUCGCAUAAAACUCGUCUCAGUUCGGAUCGGAGUCUGUAAUUCGGCUCCGUGAAGUCGGAAUCGCUAGUAAUCGCAGAUCAGUAUGCUGCGGUGAAUAUGUUCUCGGGCCUUGUAUAUACCGCCCGUCACACCAUGGGAGUCAAUUGCUCCAGAAGUCACCACAAUAUGGUGGUGCCCAAGGAGUGAUUGGUAACUGGGGUGAAGUUGAAAUAAGGUA
rnacentral:rRNA from 1 species